rnacentral:rRNA from 1 species
CCUACGGGAGGCAGCAGUGAGGAAUAUUGGUCAAUGGUCGGGAGCCUGAACCAGCCAAGUCGCGUGAGGGAGUACUGCCCUAUGGAUUGUAAACCUCUUUUGUCGGGGAGCAAAAGCUGGACGUGUUCGGCGGUUAGAGUACCCUAAGAAAAAGCAUCGGCAAACUCCGUUCCAGCCGCCGCGGUAAUACGGAGGAUGCGAGCGUUAUUCGGAUUUAUUGGGUUUAAAGGGUGCGCAGGCGGGUUUGUUAGUCAGCGGUAAAAUCCUGGGGCUCAACCCCCUCCCGCCGUUGAAACUGGGAGUCUAGAGUGGGCGAGAGGUAUGCGGAAUGCGCGGUGUAGCGGUGAAAUGCAUAGAUAUCACGCAGAACCCCGAUUGCGAAGGCAGCAUACCGGUGCAACACUGACGCUGAGGCACGAAAGCGUGGGUAUCGAACAGGAUUAGAUACCCCUGUAGUC